CCAGAGUCAUCCCAUGAGCAAGCUUGAUUAGAGCUUGAUCAUGACGAAGUACAACCGCAGGAAGAACCGACAGGCCGACCUCUCCUCUAAUCCUCCUUCGCUCUCCAUCUUGCUACUAUCUAGAUCUACUCUAGUUUAGAGAAGAGAGGAGAGCUCUCAUCUCUAAACCCUAGCUUUUGCUCUGUCUAUGAAUAAUGAAUAAUGAUCAAGGGGUGCCUCCUCCAGGGGCCAGGGGGUCUGGUUAUAUAGUCCCCUCAAGUGAACCUGGGCCGUCGGAUCAAACCGACAUUGAUUGAACGGUUAUUCUUGAUCCUUUAGGUCGGUGGAGCAUAAUCCGCGAGGUUGAACGUGAUUGGCCACUGUAGCAGGGCGGGCGCCCUAAGGACUUGGGCGGGCGCCCAGGUCCUGGCUCCGUUCGGCCUCCGCUUCCUUCUCGUGGCUUCUGGAGUCUUCUAGAUGUAAAAUAAUUGUGCGGCACGUUGAUAUCUCUAUGUAAUCCCGACGUGUGGGCCAUUCUUCCGUAUUUCCUGAUAACCCCCUGCAGAAAUAGACAAACACCAAAACUCGUGGAAUUCUGUCAGAUAAAACCCUAAGUCUAGAUGUUGAUUUCAUUUGGAUCCUUUUCUUUGUUUAUUUGAUAAUUAAAUUUGAUACUUAAGGACCGUCAACAAACUCCCCCAAGCUUACCUCUUGCUCGUCCCUGAGCAAGGAUAGACUCAGCGAUGGAUCAGAAGUUGUUGCAAUAUCUUAAAAAUUUGACGGUACACAUGCUUUUAAAUAAGAUCUCAUCUCUGAGUUAGAGUAAACAGUCAAGAACUAAAACUUACUUACUUUAUCUUUCACCAUGGGACUGGUAACCGUCACUUCUGUCUUGAGUAGUCUAGCCAAGUGCCAUGUCUCUUAUUCUUGAUCAGCUAUAGCUCUAGAGUUUUUGCAGACUUUCAAAUAAAACUCAGAGAUUCCUUGUAUGACUCUCUAAAUCUCUCUUUUGUGGUUUUUCUGGAUCCUUACCAAGGCAUUGAUGGUAUAUGCCUUCUCUCAAGAUAUGUGGUAUUUGUGGUAUAAGGCAUAGUGACAUUGCCUUCUCUCUCACCCUACUCUAAUAAGGCUUUAAUAUCUGGAGCUCAUAGGUGGGAGACAGCUAAUACAUACUUACAAGACAUUAAUUGCAUAGUCAAACCAUGGAUCCAGAGAAACAAGUCAAUAAGUCAAAUCAAGAUGUGCAUGUGUGGCGAAUGAAUGGUGUAUGGUGAUGAUGGUGAUAACAAUGGUGAAAGUCUAAUUCUACUUUUGCUCUUUUGAGGGGAUACAUACCUUCCUUGCUUUUUGAAACUUUAUGAGGAGAAUGAGAUGCUCUUUCUUUUUCUUUCCUCUCAGGUGGGUAUCCUGUACCCCUAAUUCUACUGUCGGAUACUUGUCCAUUUUUACCUCUCGUCUCACUCUUUUUCUUUUCUUUCGAGGUUCCGGGCACUUGCCCCUUUUUAUUUCCUCGUUUAUUUUUUAUUUUUUUUCUUUUUUUUUCAGAACACUCAUCUCUUGAGAUAAUAUAGCAAGUGGUAGUAGCAAGAUAACUUGAGCAUUUAUUUCACAAGGGAAAACAGAAAUAUUUUUGGCUAUUCUCUCCCGGAUUAGGAGUAGAAUAUUUUUGGGUGGUUCUGGAGAUGGACAUGGAUGGAUAUAUGUGGAUGGUACUUCCGGAGUAGAAGUAGCAUAUAUGAGUGAACGUGCAAGUGAAUCUUGAUUUUAACCGCAUGACAAGCUCCUAAGGGUCUACACAGCUUGACCACACUCAAUGCUCAUAAGCAGUAAAUAGUAAAUGUGUGGCUCAAAGUCUAGCAAGCAUGUAUAUAUGGCUGUGGUAGGAAUUUAAACUUUCAUCAUACAGGAACUCAUCAUGCAAUAUUUUAAAGAUUUUUCAAAGAUAAAAUUCUCCAGAAUUCUAGCAUCUCUAGGAACAGAUAAACAACAGCUCAACCUUCCCAUAUCAUAUCCGUUAACAACUUAGAUUUCAGAUCAAGUUUUCAUCCCACAAGUUUAGAUCUAGAGCAAGCUUUAAAUUAUAACAGUUAUGUCUAAACUUGAGAGAGAACUUCAAAUUUGCAAAUUAGGCAGAGCAACUAUUCAUCAUAUCCAUGCUAGAGUUUUAUUAUUAAGAUUCAGAUUAGCAUAGCCACUUUAUUUAUUUAUUAAACACAUUAAGCAAAAGAUAUAUAUAUAUAUAAGCACAAAAUCUUUAUUUGGUUUUUCAUAGUUUAUGUAUUUUAAUAUUCUAAUAUAAUAUAAGUAUAAAGAUAGGUAGAAAUACUUAGCGUGAUAAAUGGGGGUGCUCUCCCCCAAGCUGAAUUUUGACGUAAUUUCUCUUGAUGUAGCUAGCAGGUGGUAGAGGUGUAUUUGGAAGUCAGCAGCAUUCUGACAGCGAUUAGAAUGUCCUCCGUCUGCUAGUCUUCUUGAUUCUUAAAUUCUGUGGAGCUCAAAUAGACAACAAAGCUUGUGGAACUAAUUAAGUGUUAGCAUAAAUAUCUAGCCUUCAUCAUGUUGAGCUUCCUCAAUAAAUAUUACUCCCUAUUUUUUUAUAAAGCAGAAAAGAAAUAUUUAUUUUAUUUUUAUGCCACCACAGUGAAGGUACUUAUGGGUUUUAUGCCACUCGUAUACUCAUAUGGGGCUUAGUAUUUUUUUAACAUUUUUAUUUUCUUUUCAAGAUAGCAUGAUUAACUAAUAAUCUAUUUAAGGAAAGUAAAUAAUUAAAGAGAAAAGGGAAUGCAUAAAGGAUAAAUAUGGAUAACUACCGAUCUUACCUUUCGGCGAUGGUUCAAUGUUUUAAGUCUUCUUGACAAGACUUCUCACCGUGUUCAUUCUUCAGGUGCGUCAUUUGAUUCAGGUGCGGACCUUGACGUCUGCACCUCUUGAUACGGUGUCAUCCAUCUUCUUCGUUUGCCCAGCAGUUCGAAGUGCGGCGUUGGCAGCAUCCUGCUCAGUGUGUUUGUGCUCGUAGAUCCAAGUCCUUCACUUGGUGGAAUCUGGGAGUUGUAAAACUCCACCAUAUUUUGCUCGAAGUGUACCUGCUCAUAGAGACAAGGCAGAGAUCAAGUGCAUGGGCCCUAUUGGUGGAAAACACCAACAGAACCAAAAGUGUAUUUGUUCUUCUCUAACCCUAAGCAUAGUGAGCAAGACAAAAGUUGAUGGAUGAAAAGUUCAUGAGUGUAGCACUUAUAACAUUUGUCAGAUCAGAUCGCUCAACCUUAUGGAAAGAUAAUCUAUCUAUGUAUAUGUCUUUUUCUUUAUAUCUUUCAAAGAUUGAAUGUGUAACAUUUUAGCUCAUGUGGGAUCAUGGAGGUAGUACUAAGAACAAGGAUUAAAGGACUAAACAUGCUGAAUCAGUUGGGUUGGUUAAUCUAGAGUUGUAAAUCAUACAUGUUUGUCUCUUUUAUUUAUAUGAACGCUAGAACCAAGGAGAAGCUUAUAAAAGUGAUAGUCAAGUACUUUAAGAUGUUACCUUGCUUGAAGAGUGAUGGUACAAUAUCACCUUGUGGAAGCUUUCCUUUCUUAGCGGUUGUGCAUCGUGUUUGUGGCACCCUCCAUGGAUCAUCUCUCUAUGAUGAAUGAGCUAUGUCCUUCUUGUGCAAAUUGUUAAACUUCAUGUGUCACUCUCUUUGUCUCUGAUG
rnacentral:lncRNA from 1 species